AAAUUUAAUCAAUACAUUUUUGUUUCCAAAAAUGGAUGCUUUAAAAGAAGUAAGUAAUAUUGUUACAUGUUACAUAAUUAAUGCAAAUACUAAUUUGUGAUAAUUUUUACAAUUUUUAAAUGUAAAAUGUUCAAAUAAGGAAAUAAUCAAACUAGUAAAAUCUGGAUUUCUUGUAAAAAAAAAACUGUUUGAUAGAAAAACAAAAUUAUAAAAUGUUUUUAUUGAACGUUACACAGAGAAAAGACCAGACACCUGUUAUAAGUGGUAAUUGAUACUGUUUAAAAUACUGUCCCUUUAAGAAGUAUCAUGAUAGAAUACUACAGCAUUGCUACAAUAAAUAUUCUACUUUUUAUGUUUGUCUGUCUUGAUAUCUUUAGGUUACCGUUAAGUGUAGUGUAAAAUGAUGUGCACAACCAGUAUACAAAAAUCCAACAUUUUAAUCAGGACUGAAAAGGGUUUAAGUAGUUGUUUGAAGAGAAGAUGGCAUAGGAAGCGCACUUAGAAAGUCGAGCAUUGUUUUUUUCUUUUUUUAAACUGUUAAAUUACUGCUGUAAAACAAAUUUAUAAUAUUUUAAUUAAAUUAGUUUGAAUUUAAAUAUUUUUUAUUAACUUACACUCAAAUUUGUGCAGCUUGAAUAUCCAAUCUAAUAAGGUAAAAGAUUAACAGGUAUCAUGUUUAAUUACAUAUACUUCAAUAAAUUUCAACUGAACAGUUCUGUAUUUAAAUCAAACAUAGGUUGAACAUUCAUCAAACAAAGUUAACCUUCGAUAAUGUAUUAAAUGUAUAUAUUUAUCUGGGGUAACAAUAUAUAACUAUUAAUCCUGCUGUUUUAUCUUUUAAAAUGAUCAGAUUAUAUUGUAUUUGUGCAUGUCAUGUGAAAUGUCAUGCGAUUUAGAACACUUUGACAAUAUACACUUUUCCAACUUAUCUUGUUUCUUACGUAAUUCCUACCAUUUGCAGGUAUAAUUAUCACGGUGGGUAUGGUUGUCCUGCGAGAGAACGUACUGUGCUGGUGAUUUGGUCCUGACGGGUGCUGGUGAUCAAUGAAAAAAUGUAAACAAAGACGAAAACAAUGAUUUUUGACGUUUUCACUCAUAAAAAAUGGAAGAAAACGGUUGAGAUUUUUCAAUUUUGUUUCUUAUGGGUUCAUAUGUAAACCAUUAAAAAGUUGACCCUCUAAACUUUUUCAGUAAGCGUAACACAGAAAUGCUCAUUUUCAGAAAAUCUCGAACUGAAAAAAUAAAACAAAAAUGCUCAUAGAGUCCGCUUUCUAUACCGCAAUCCACGCGACAAAACUAUUUUGUGAAAAAACAUUGCAAUUUAAAUUAGUAUUAAAAUUUAGCAUUUUCUCAAUUUAUUCAUGUCCUGAUACUGUGCUGGUGGGUCCUGUCAUUGUGCUGGUGGGUCCUGAUACGGUGCUGGUGAUUUUGGAUAAGAAGUUGGUCAUAUUUGAAACAAAUGUUACAAAAUCAAUAAUAUUGGGCAGAUAAUUGUUGUCAAUAGGAUCUAUGACUCCUAUUUUAGCUCUUGUGCAUCCAUUUGGCUGUUUAAUAUGUGUUUUGAAAUGAUCGUAACUUGUAUUAAAUAAUUACAUAAAAGGGCAACAUCUUUCGUCCAAUAUCAGAUAACAAUAUAUAGUAUCUAAAAUAAGAAUAGUUUUAUUAAGAUAUUUUAAAUGCCCCUUACAUUGAUGCUUCAACAAUGAUCAAAGCCAAUGCCGCAUAGACAUGUUUGUUAGCGCUCCGCAUACCCCUCCCCACUUCCACCCAACCAACCCUCCUCAUUUCCUCCUUCAUUGUUACAGUGGUGUAUCAACACAACAAUUUAUUACAUAAAAUAAUAACACAAAGACACACAUUAUUGAAUAACGAAUGCUUGCAGGUACUGAAAGUUAGUUAGUUCAAGCUAGCAUUUUAGCAACAUUUUCAACUAAUAGAUAAACCAUGUUCUCAAAUACAAAAAUCCAAUCGUGUAGAUUAAAAAAGUCUCAAAACUUAAGUUCACAUUUUAAUGUUUGAUGAAGCAGAACUUUAAAAGUGUGCAGUGAAUCUUGUUCUCACAACAGUUAUUGUCAUAAUUAUGUUUACAUAAGACUCAUAAAGGAAUUAAGAAGGUACCAAGCAAUAUUUUACAGUUCAAUUUAAUGAUCAUGAAUGGAAGGAAAUGGUACGGAAGUUUACAUAGGACAAAAAGAAAUUGAUAGUAUUUUUUGGCGAAAGACUUAAACGCUUCCUUGCAUUAUAUAGUACAGCUCUUCUAUAAAAGCAUGCAAAAAAAAACUUUGAUUGACUUGCUUGCUAUGUUUGCUUGGAUGUUUUCAAACAAUAGGUAGGCGGAGUUUCAAUACAUACUGGGAUUUGAUUGGACAAAUACAAACUGACAGGAAUUGAAGUUAAUGUUUAUUUUCCAAACAAAUUGUAGUAUAUAGUAAACAGACUACUUACCUGUCGUUUACAAACAUCCAAACAAUCAUAGCAAGCAAUUUAAUCAAUGGUUUGCUUUGCAUAUAUUUAUAGAAGAGCUGUAAAUUCUAAAAAAAAAAGAAAUUUUGUUGUCGUAGAUGGUUAAAUCCUCAACAAAAUCACAAUAUCUUUGUUGGAACGAAUAAAGGUUUUAAAUCAAAUUUUCGUGGACUUUUUAGCUUCCACCCUGACGAGACAUGUUAGCUGUUCGUAUGCUGUUGCACCUGACGCACGGAAACUUUCACAUUUCCAUCUUCUUUUCUGAAAAUAUUUUACCCAGCUCAUACUUGACAGGACUGUUAUCCUAGUAAAAGGUGUAACCAAUGAAUUGAACACAAGUUAAAAAUUCCAAAAUACUAUAUAAUUCAUUUUAUGUGUCAAUUUGUUCGAAAAAAGUCGAAAAGAAGAGAGUUUUUUUUAAUGCCAUGAUUAUCUGCCGCUUUCUAGAUCUAUGCUUAGCAUUUAUUUCAGAUGACAUGGACUCCUCACCCUGGUGACCCUGCUGCCUUUCAUAACUUUAUCCGUAUACAUAUAUUAAUAGAUAAACAAAAGGCUGCAACUGGUAUUUGAUUCGUUGUAACGAGAAUAUUUGUGGUGAAUGGAAACUGUGAGGGUCAAAAUCUUAAAUUGCUUAUAAAUGUUGCUGGACCCAGUUUCGUUAUCUGAUCUGAAUUUUCUGAAAUGUGCAAGGUAGAUAGACAUUUUGAUUUUUUUUACUCGGUAAGUUUUGCCCUAAUUGCUUGAACAUUUGCAAUAUUAAAGCCGAUUUCAAUGAGUGUGUAGACAAAGGGAAUAUCUUUGGUUAUCUUGCUUGCUGAACAGAAAAGUCAUUGUUAGGUUAUGUAAACUACCCUACUUUAAGAGUAGACUAGUCCGACAAAUGACACAUCUUUCUGUCUGUAGGACCAGGCUAAUUCGAAAGGAGGGUAUAGACCUUACCUAACAAUGACUUCACGGUUUAGCUAACAAGCAAGCUAACCAAAGAUAUAACAUUUGCCUACAUACUCAAUGGAAUCGGCUGUAACUAAAAACUCGAAUACAUUUUAACAGACAGUGGUCUGGUUUGUUGAUGAAUAUUGUUUUUCCUAGAUUCACUCUUGAAAAAAUCAUUUGGUAACAUUUGGUCAUUGUAAUACGGACGCCAAGACAAUAAAUGAACCUCACACGAUCCCUCGACACAGUUGAGCUUAUAUAUGAUCUUAUAGCGAUUCGGGUUGAAAAUCAGUUGAAAUUAAGCCAGUUAUUUGUGUGUGUAGAUUUGUAUUGUUUUAAACUGUUAUGACUUUUUAAAGUUAAAUCUAGGUGUUUAAUCUAAGAAUUUCUUUUUUAAACUUAUUUACUUGUUUUAUACUCAAUUGGUAGUAUGAAGUUACGAGAUAUUUUAAUUUUUGAAAUUGAAGGCACAAUUAACAAAGCAAACGUUAGUUUCAAAUACUUUUAAAUAGAUUUUUAAGGAUAAUGUACCCUUGUGUUGAUCCCAUGCUAAACAUAACAAAAAUUCUCUGUACAAAGGUCUGUGAAUUUUCUACAAAAAUAGUGAUUUUAUUUUCACCAAAUUCUCUUUUUCUACUAAAUACAAUAAUGAACUAUAAAUAAUAAUGCUUUGCAAGAAGUUUCCCCUUGAUACAUGUAUAUGUACAAAAUUAUAUCUCUAUUAUCCCUUGAUACAUGUAUAUGUACAAAAUUAUAUCUCUAUUAUUCAUUGUCUGUGCUGUUUUGAUACUAUUGCAGUUUGCACAUUUUCGUAAUUGACAGGCCACAGGAGGGGGUGAUAAACCAUACACGAAAAUAUAAAAUAUUGAUCUAAGUACUUAAUUUGCAUCUCUGAACCCCACCCCGGCUUGUUUUUUAGGAGGGUGUCUAAAAAUGGUCGAUUACAGACAGCCGAGUACGCAUUUUACUUUCCAGGCGUGUUUACGUUGAUUGUUAAAGUCCUGAAAACGGAUAGAUAGAAACAAAAAUGUUUGAUUUAUCUGGCUUUAGAUUCAGUUUUUUUUAAAUAUAAAUUAAGUCUACAUUUUAAUAUAAUAAUACUAAGAAUUCACAAAUAUAAAAAAUGCAGAAAAAAAAUGGAGAUGUGAAAUAUCUUAAUAAGGAGUCAUUACUACAGAGAUGGUGUGUUUGACACACAAAACUUAAAAGCUUAGUGAUAUUACCAAUAUUAAAAUAAAAAGUGUAUUUUAGUUUGGUAGUUUUUCCAUUUACUCAUUUUCAAUCAUAAUUAAGGCACAUUUGAUUUUUAUUCAUAAAAAUAUUUAAAUAUAGAAAAGUAGGACACAUUGUUCACUUCCUCCCCUGUAAUUCUUUAUCAAAAAUAUUUAUUUAUUUUGGAAUUUUGAAAUGAAAAAGCUAAGAAAUCUUAGUUUUGUUAAUGUUCUCUAGGUUAUCUCGUCUUCAUUCUCUGACAUAUUCUCUGACAUAUUCUAGUCUGCCCUUUCAUAAAAUAGUGAUUUUUUUAGUGUUCUAUCGAACUUUCGAAAAAAAAUACCUGAUAACCGUUCAGACAAAAAAAAAUAUGUUGAAAAAAUCUUACAGAUACAGCAAGUGAUUCUUAAUAGCUGUAAGAUACAUUUUUCUUUUAAAAUACAACUUUUAAAUCUUACGGGAAACUAUUCCAAGCUUAACACUUUCACUGUAACCUCGCUCUAACUUAUCCCCCCCCCCAUCCCCCCAAAAAAAACCAAACAAACAAACCCGCAAUACUAUUGUCAUUCUUAUAGUCAGCACUCAAUUUUUCACAAACAAAUGUGUUUUAAGCUGCUAAAGACAUAUGAUUCAAACGCUCAGAAAGUCCUUUCUUCUAUAUUUUUGCUCUCCAUUUUUAUACAAAACCUUUUACAUUUUUAUUUUAUGGGUUAUUGUUGAAGGUCGUACAAUGACGUAUGGUUGUUAACACAUACUUUCUUUGGUUUCUUAUGGAAAUUUGUCCAUUGACAACAAACAUACAACAUCAUCUACUUUAUAUAAGUAUUGUAUAAAUUACAACGUAUUUUGGCGAUCUUGCAAAAUGAUCGUAAUCCCGAAAAUCGUAAACAUAUUUUCUUAUCUUAAAAGGGGGCAAGAAGGGUUCCAUUAACAGGCCAAUAAAUAAAAUCACAGUUAAUUUUAAAAAGAAUAAAAAAUAGGGUUUUUUUUUCUCUCAUAAUAACAGUAAACAGAUUCAUAACAAUGUCAAUUUCAAGAAAGCAGACAACAGUUAAUUACUAGUAGUCAAUAACAGUACAGCAUCAAUGAUCUUGAAUAUUUGCCACUUUUAACUAAAAUAUAAAGGCACAGAACCAGGACAUAGGAGCACAGAACCAGGACCGUUUUUCUUAUCACCAGCACAUCGUCAGGACAAUUCCGUUUAACGAACUUGCACGACUUUUGCAAUUUUAUAUUGUUGAAAUAUACUUUGCAUGGUACUUAUGACGCAUCAGAGAAAAAUUAAGCAACAAAACAGUCGUUUUAUUGCCGUUCUGAUACAAUGUAAACAAACCCACCAGCACAGAAUCAGGACCCACCAGCACCCGUCAGGACCAAAUCACCAGCACAGUUCUCGCAGGACAUACCACCGUGAUUAUCAUUACUGAUUUCUUAUCGUCUAUCAGAGUGGCUAAACGGUUUAAAAUGGGACAAAUAAAAUAGUUUAGACUUAUAUUAUUAAGAUAUGCUAUUGCUUAUAUAAAAAUAUUUUAAAGUAUCUGUUGAACUUUUAUAAUUUAAUAUGAACCGCGAUUCUCACUCUUUUUUCACUUCCCUAAAUAUUGUAAUAAUAUACAGCUUUCAAUAAACAAAAAAUCUUGAUUUACGUGUGUAAGUUUUACGGCUUCUUAGAUUAAAAAUCUAAACAUGUCUACUAGUUUGGGUAAAUCUUUAUUACUAAGCAAUGCAGAACGUACGAAGAUGCUCUCUUCUCAGUCAGACGAAACUAUAGUUUACAACUUGUCAAAGCUCCUGAAAGCGACGGCCAUUUCAUCCAAAACAAAUUAUAGAUAGAACUGCAAAAGCUACCCUUGUAGACUACUAUACGGAGAAUACGAAACUUCCAUCCACCCCCUUUCCAUGCAAGAAAAACUUAUAUAAUAUAAUAUGAUACAUGCAUAUUUUCCAACGAGGUAUGCAUACUUUCCAUUUGAUGUGGUCAUAAUUGUACUCUCAUAUCAAAAUUUAUAUAAUGUCUUAGAACUCCGUGUUACAUGUAAAGUGAAAUUAAACAUGUUAUAGCACAUUUGUGUACCUUUUAUAUCGUCGCGGCUUUUCACUCACAUAUGUGCUGUGUCGUUGUCGAAGUUAAAAUAAGAGGUUUUGUGGUUAGGUUCACUGCAUUUGGAAAAGCUAUUGGCGAAUUCCAGAUAAGAAGAAAAAAGUUCAAUGGCAGUUCAUUUCAUUAUAUUUUGUUAAAGAAAAAUCAGCUAAAACAGAGGUCCAUGAACACCUGUUUAUAGUAAAUAACUUAGCAAAUCAACAAUGUAAAACAAUCUCUGUUUUAUCAGCGUAUUUAUACGACUUUAAUAUCAAUCAGCGUAUUUAUAUUUUCUAGAUUCCAUCAUGGUGUUGGUCUGUUAAGCUGGAAGACAAGGCUCAGCAUUUAAUUGAUUUGAAAAUAAGCUGUCCUAUCUGUUUUCUGUUUGAUGUUGUGUUUAUCGUAUUGGUGGAUACAUCGGAUUUUUCAUCAACUAACAUGUUUAUCAACUCUCAUUGUGGUGAAAUUACUAUAUCAUUAAACAGCAGUUUUAAUCCAACAAAAACCUUCAUUCUGUAUGUAUACGGACUCAAAACAAUCAUUUCUAGUACCGGUCAAUAUGAUUCGGUGGUAUGUUAUGGAAAUAAAGAAAUUGAAUGUAAGUCUGUUUUCAGCCUCGUGUUUAACUUUUGGUGUAAAAAAACAAGUAAUAUCUUUUCAACAUUCUUUUCAGAUAAGUAAUAGCCUCCACACAUACUCAAAUCUAUUUUAUCUAUUUAUAUAAAUUUUUAGUUUGCGCAAAAAAGUUAUUAUCCAAUUUGAAAUACACAACUAGUAAGAAUUUGAUAUAUAAUGUUAUUAUUUAAUUGUGUCGUGCUUUGAACAAUUUAAAUAUACUUCAUCGUUUUAAAGUGCACCCUCCUUAGUUAGACCAAGAUGUUUAACUUUUUUUUAUACUUCAAUUGUAUUUAAAACCGUAAAAUCUCUUAAUCGAUUGAUGAAUAACGAUAUACUGCUGUUGCCUUUAUUUUGACAAAAACGAAAAUAAACAAAAAAGAUUGCAUGAUACAAACUUUAUUCAUUGAUGUCUUUUAAAGGUAAAGAAGAGAUUCAAACAAACGUGCUUUUGAAAGAAAUUAAAGAAGACAUACACUUGCCUUUGUUGUCCACAGUAACCCAGGUGAUUUUAUAAGCAGACAUUGAACUUGUAUCCUACUUCUAAAACAGCUAUUGAAAAUAAUAUGGCCAAAUACAGGGUUUUGUUAUCUGUCAAUUCAGAAAGAGUUAAAUUGAAAUCUCGUUUAUCUAGAUCGUAUUUGUUUUAGAGUUUGUGCUUUUAUCGGGUUGAUUGUUUAUUCUUUUUGGGUUAUAUCGCUUGGGCUUUUAUUUUAGGAUUUUUUUUCCUGCACAUUGAUUGAUUAAUGUAAAUAACAAAAGGGGAAACAUAUAGUACGGCAGCUUAGUGAAAAAUUGUGCACAUCCUGCUACAAGCAUAAAAUUUGGCAUAGACCUUCCUCAACUAUUACUCUUUUAUUUCUUGGUCUAUAGUCUUUUCAAGCAUGUAAAACGUGCAAUAUACUUAUGCAGGUGUUUAGGGGACGAGCUUGGGAUUGGCUCUCAUGCUACCCAGUCCAGGCGAUAAUGGAUGGCGAAAUGACAAAGAUGAUCCCUUUAAAAAAAAACUCUUUCUGAGGCCUCAUCAUUUUGUCAGAAGCUUGUACAUGGUGGAUGUAAGAAAGGAUGCCGAGGUCAUUGUUAAUGUGGAAAAUCGGGUCUCCCGUGCACUGUCUUGUAUGCAUGUAGUGGUGACUGUGAAUAAACAUGUAUUUCUGGCCAAAUAGUAGUAAUUUUAAAAAUGUUUUAGUACUAUAGUGAUUUUUUUUAAUCAAUCUAUCCAAAACUCUACAUCGAAGAAAUGGAUUGUGGACUCAUCUUUGAAAAGAGGAACGAAAGAUACCAAAGGGACAGUCAAACUCAUAAAUCUAAAACAAACUGACAACGCCAUGGCUAAAAAUGAAAAAGACAAACAGAAAAACAAUAGUACACAUGACACAACAUAAAAAACUAAAGAAUAAACAACACGAACCCCACCAAAAACUAGGGGUGAACUCAGGUGCUCCGGAAGGGUAAGCAGAUCCUGCUCCAUAUGUGGCACCCGUCGUGUUGCUUAUGUGAUUACAAAUCCGGUAAAUAGUCUAAUUCGGUAGGUCACAUUCAUGAAAGGGAAGGGGAUUGUAGUUACGACGUAAAGAACAUAUCUUUUGAAAUUUACGCCAUAUUUUUACCGUAAGUGUCAACUUUGUAUUUAAACAUUUACAACAUGAUAGAAUUAGCGGUUUUAGUGAUAUAAUUUAAAGCCAAAAAUUUAAUGACCAGCACAAAAAACUAAAAUUUCUUUACAUUUUGAAAAAAGUUGAAUAUUUGAAUAAUACAUUGAUAGUUCUAUGUCCGCCAUUUUGGAUAUAACCGGAAGUAAGGGUUUUUAAGACAUAUGUCUUAUACAUUGUAUCUAUCAGAAGCACCAUAGAAAGGUUCCUGCACAAUGUAGCAAUAUGUUAAAACACAUUUCAAUUACCCUCCCUAAAAAAAUAAGCUUAUUUAAGUAUAAUGUCCGCCAUGUUGGAUUUUACCGGAAGUAGGGUUUUUGAAGACAUCUAAUCUAUAUAAUAUAUCCAAAAGUAGUACAUAACAAAGUUUUGUACCAAAUAUUAUGCUAGUAGCCUGCUAAUAACACCUUUUUCACAUACUAGCCUUCGAUAUUAGGCUGAUUCAAGUAUGAUGUCCGCCAUCUUGGAUUUUACCGGAAGUGAGACAUUUUUUUUCAAAUGCCUCCCUAUCUGAAAUAAAAGAGUAAUAAGUUGAGGAAGGUCUUUGCAAAAUUUCAUGAUUGUAGCAGGAUGUGCACAAUUCGUCUAAAUUAUGCUUGUAGCCGCCGGACUAAUAUGACUGAUUGAUGAUUUGUUCAUUGUUGCUUGCUCAAAGAUAGCUAGCCCAGUUGCAAUAAUUUAAUGCACUAAGACGAAAACAAUUUAACUAACAAUAAUAAAGUAGGUAGAUUUUGCAAGUGGGACAACCAGUAUUGAGAAUAUGAAAUAAGUAGGGGUAAUUUCCUCUGAAAAAAAUCUGACAAGUCUUUAUGAAGAAUGUUAUCAUUUGAACGAAUGAAAAAAAAAAUCAUUAUUGAAGUAAAAAAUUUACACAUGAAAAAAACAAAUUGACAAAAAAUCAUAAUAUAGAAAAUAAAGAGCUCCUUCAUGCAGUAGAACAGAAGUGGACGAAAACGUAGGGUGUCAUGUUGAUUAUAAAUUACCAAUUGAGAGACAUUUCUAUGUUGAUUUGUUAAUGAGAAUAACCAUAUAUAUUUUGUUUGAUUUUAGGGUACAUUGCCAUUAACUGUCCAUCGCCAACCACCGUCGCUUUACAGGUUAGAUGUUAAUACUAUCUUUACAGAUGAAAAACAUUUUAUCGUCUUUGUCAAAGUAAAGAAUCAGCUCCGCUGUUACAAUGUCAGUGGUCGGUGUCUAAACAAGCCGUUUCCUUUUGAGUUGCCAUCUGCAUCAUCAGUUCAAUGUAAGGUUUUGUGUGCAUGUCGACAGCAGCGGAUGAAUGGAAGAUUUUUUGUUACGACUACUGUAUCGCAUAGCCAUGUGAUCAGUUUUAAAACGUGUAAGUAAUUCUACGCUGUAUUGAAAAUAAUUAAAAGCAAAGACAACCGACAACAAACGAAUAAAAAGACUAAAUACGAAAAGAAAAAAAUUCGAUAUAGUAAUAACACGGAAUUGGAACUAUUCUUUUAAUAAUAAAAACACAAAUAAACAAAAGUUCGGGCUUUUUUUUAGUAAUGAGAUCGUGCGUAUUUGUUAUUAAAAAAAGCAAACAUAAAUACUUAUCUCCUCUAACUGGUAAAAUUUUCAUCAAGAAUGUAAAAAAAAAAAAAGGUUUUAGGACAAUUCUGUAUUAAAAACUGUUCAUUAUUAUCUCAAAUGAAAUGAUUUGAAGAAAAAAAGUAUCGGGUACAAUUUGUUAGUUGAUCGUUUUGCAAACUAUUAUUUCAGUAAUCCAAUUUCAGCAAAACAUUUUUUUAUUUUCAGUUUUGUCUCAUGUGGAUACAUACCGAUUAUAUAAUCUAGCUAUAGCAUUCGGAACAAGAAAAGUCUACCCGAACAUGCGACCUAUUCAGUAUUUCUAUAGGAAUAAAUCAGUGGAAUAUUUUCAAAUUAUACUAAAUUCAAACUAUCUAAAAGGGGAAAUGCGACCAUAUUUGAAAAGUAAUGGUGGAGAACAGGGUUCCGUGGUGAAUGGUCGGUUACCUGGUUUAUUUUUCAGUACAUAUAUUGAUAUAACGACGAACAUGCCAAAUCCACGUUCUCACUAUGGACCAAUAAGAUUGUAUUAUAAAGCUUUUGUGAUGUUUAAUCAUCAGUGUAAUUUGUAUUUUGCCGAUUUUUAUUGUCAUUAUAAACGACAUCAUGUGACAAUUAUACUGGUACCAAAACUAUCAACGCAUAACAAUUUUUGUCGACAAUAUUUGACAGAAUUAAACAUUUUUCAUAAUCCAUAUUUGUGUUUGAGAGUAGAAUUGAACGGUACAUUCACUGUUCUGGCAAAUAUGGAUGUCACUGUUGAAGUGUUUUAUACUGAAAUCAUUAAUGUGAAGAGAGCUUUAGAGUUGAAGUAUGGAUUUCUAGAAGAAACACCAACUAUUGGGAAAGGGUUUGCUAAGCCUUCUGGUACUCCUAAAAACCCUGAUUGUAACAUAUGUAACUUAAAAUAGUCAUAUAAUUUUAGGUUUAGGUUGUGCGUACGCUUGAAUAUCUGUAAAUCGGUUUGCUUAAGUUAUGGGCAUGUAACCAAUUAAAAUAUUACAGCACUUUGCAUAAUGUUAGCAAGACAAAGGUUUGGUUGACUUGCUUGCUUUGUUUGAAUAAAUGUUUGCUCAAGCAUUGUAAUUAGUUCGUUCAACUACUUAAAAAGAAAAAACGGAUGUGUUAUACUCAAUAUUUUUUUUCUUUAUACAUGUUGUAUAUUCAAAAUCUGAUUUAAAUUCAGACAUUUUCUGAAAUAAAUACUGCGUAUAGGUUUAAAUUACAUACAAUUUUACACGUGUUAGGAAAAUAAAUAAAUUCCUUAAUGUACUCUUGUGUCUUUAUAUGAUUUUAUACAUUUCAUUUUCAUUGAUUUUUUUU
rnacentral:lncRNA from 1 species